GAUGAACGCUGGCGGCGUGCCUAAUACAUGCAAGUCGAGCGAACAGACGAGGAGCUUGCUCCUCUGACGUUAGCGGCGGACGGGUGAGUAACACGUGGAUAACCUACCUAUAAGACUGGGAUAACUUCGGGAAACCGGAGCUAAUACCGGAUAAUAUAUUGAACCGCAUGGUUCAAUAGUGAAAGACGGUUUUGCUGUCACUUAUAGAUGGAUCCGCGCCGCAUUAGCUAGUUGGUAAGGUAACGGCUUACCAAGGCAACGAUGCGUAGCCGACCUGAGAGGGUGAGCGCCCACACGAAAAGAGAGACACGCGCCAGACUUCUACGGGGGGCAACAGUAGAGAAUCUUCCGAAGGGGGCGAAAGCUACGCGGAGCAGCGCCGCGUGAGUGAAAAAUGUCUGCGGCUCAUAAAACUCUGUUAUGGGAGAAAAACAUGUGUAUAAGUAACUAUGCACGUCGUGGCGGUACCAAAACAGAGAGCCGGCUCUCUCUACG
rnacentral:rRNA from 1 species